UUAAAUAGCAGCGCGAAGAUAGCCUUCUUGCAUUGCUUCUUAGAAGGACGUUGCAUGUCUAAUGCAAGGAAGUUGGAGGCAAUAACAGGUCUGUGAUGCCCUUAGAUGUUCUGGGCUGCACGCGUGCUACACUGACGCGUUCAACGAGUUUACCUUUGGCCGUCAGGCUUUAAGAGUAAUCUGCUGAAAACGCAUCGUGAUGGGAAUAAACGAUUGUAAGUAUUCGUCUUGAACGAGGAAUUCCUAGUAAGCAUGAGUCAUCGGCUCGUGCUGAUUACGUCCCUGCCCUUUGUACACACCGCCCGUCGCUCCUACCGAUUGGAUGAUCCGGUGAAUCUGUUGGACAGUGCCGCAAGCAGUUCGCUGCACGUGAGUGCUGGAAAAUAUGUGAACCUUAUCAUUUAGAGGAAGGAGAAGUCGUAACAAGGUCUUC
rnacentral:rRNA from 1 species